UGCAGUCGAGCGCAGGAAGCAAGCUGAUCCCCUUCGGGGGUGACGCUUGUGGAAUGAGCGGCGGACGGGUGAGUAACACGUGGGCAACCUGCCUGUAAGACUGGGAUAACCCCGGGAAACCGGGGCUAAUACCGGAUAAUACUUUCUUUUGCAUAAAGGAAAGUUGAAAGGCGGCUUCGGCUGUCACUUACAGAUGGGCCCGCGGCGCAUUAGCUAGUUGGUGAGGUAACGGCUCACCAAGGCGACGAUGCGUAGCCGACCUGAGAGGGUGAUCGGCCACACUGGGACUGAGACACGGCCCAGACUCCUACGGGAGGCAGCAGUAGGGAAUCUUCCGCAAUGGACGAAAGUCUGACGGAGCAACGCCGCGUGAGUGAUGAAGGUUUUCGGAUCGUAAAACUCUGUUGUUAGGGAAGAACAAGUUGGGUAGUAACUGACCCAACCUUGACGGUACCUAACCAGAAAGCCACGGCUAACUACGUGCCAGCAGCCGCGGUAAUACGUAGGUGGCAAGCGUUGUCCGGAAUUAUUGGGCGUAAAGCGCUCGCAGGCGGUCCUUUAAGUCUGAUGUGAAAUCUCGCGGCUCAACCGCGAACGGUCAUUGGAAACUGGAGGACUUGAGUACAGAAGAGGAGAGUGGAAUUCCACGUGUAGCGGUGAAAUGCGUAGAGAUGUGGAGGAACACCAGUGGCGAAGGCGACUCUCUGGUCUGUAACUGACGCUGAGGAGCGAAAGCGUGGGGAGCGAACAGGAUUAGAUACCCUGGUAGUCCACGCCGUAAACGAUGAGUGCUAGGUGUUUAGGGGGUUUCCGCCCCUUAGUGCUGAAGUUAACGCAUUAAGCACUCCGCCUGGGGGAGUACGGCCGCAAGGCUGAAACUCAAAA
rnacentral:rRNA from 1 species